CGCGCAGGCGGGGAUGUAAGUCAGUGGUGAAAUACUGCCGCUCAACGGUAGAACUGCCAUUGAUACUGCAUCUCUUGAGUAUGGUUGAGGUAGGCGGAAUGUGUUGUGUAGCGGUGAAAUGCAUAGAUAUGACACAGAACGCCAAUUGCGAAGGCAGCUUACUAAACCAUUACUGACGCUGAGGCACGAAAGCGUGGGGAGCGAACAGGAUUAGAUACCCUGGUAGUCC
rnacentral:rRNA from 1 species